GUCCUCUCAUUCGGAGAGUUUCCCCCCAAGCGUGAGCACCCCUUGCAGGGGCGUUAGGUCCGCGGCCGCGCUGUCCAGCGGUCUGACCUGCAGCUCCCAGGGCCUUUGUGUCUGUCCCUCGCAUGGGCCUCUGCACGCUCCGUCCCCACGCGGCAGGACUCAAGUCCGAUUCGGGGCUCUGGCUCAGACCGUACCCCGCAGCGCCCCUCCUGCAAAUGCUCUCCUGAACUUUGGUUUUCCCUGCCUUGCUUUCCUCCUCCUCCUGUGGCCGCUGCCUCUCGAUCUCAGAAACUUCUCUUCCUCUGCACUCAGUGCUAGGCCAGAUCCCAAGGCGACCUGACCUUUCCGCUGGCUUUGCCCACAACACAGGCACCGGUGACUCCAAACCUGCAUCUCCCCUACGUUCCAGGCCCCAGCAUCCCACUGCAUGUUCCACAUCCCCCCGUUAGACAGCUCACCUUCCCUCCCCAAACGAUUCCUUCCACAGUCUUCAUUUUCUCAGAACGCGGCGCUAAACUCCUCUAAGUUGGAAGGCCAAAAACCUUGCAGCUAACUUUGCUUCCUCCCUCUGCCUCACCUCCAAUCCAUCAAGACCUGUUCACUCAGCCCACAAGCUGAAGGCCCCAUCUCCUGUCACCCAGACUACUCACCUUGUUUGGUUUUGCCUGGAUCUAUCAUGCUUUAAAUCUUUAAAAUGAAAUUAAAUCAUGAUCCCCUACAUCCAGCCUAAAACCCUCCGUGAAUUCCCAUUGCACCUAAAAUCCACACUCCCUACUUGGCCUAGCAGGUUCUGUAUGACCUGCCCAUCUCAUCAGUUUCAUCUCUCACAAGUGAUCCUUCACUCUCCAUUCUCCAGCCACAAGGCCUUUUUCUGGUUAUGGAACAUAAUUCAUACUCUUCGUCUUUCUGAAGCCAUUCUUGAAACUCACCCCUGCAAUCUAUCUACCCUUGUCAGCACCGCCAAAAUUGAGGACACCCACGGUCGCGGUGGAGCCUGUCUGACAUGUUGAGCCAGGCAGUGGGUCGGCUGCCAGACACAGCAGGACAACUUACUGCAUUUCAGAGUUUCUCUCCCGUCGCCCAGGCUGGCGUGCAAUGGCACAAUCUCGGCUCAUUGCAAUCUCCACCUCCCGAGUUCAAGCAGUUCUCCUGCCUCAGCCUCCUGAGUCUCUUUUGAUUCAGUGCUGUCACAGGUUGGGUUCUUUGGAUGUGGACUCUGUGACAGGCAGGCUGUAGAAGAAAAAUGACAUCCCAGCUGGAUACCAGAAAGAUCCUUCAGUAAUGAGGAUGGCCAAGGCUGGAAGAUGGAGAUGGAUGAGCAUCACAAGAUUCCAGAGUAAAAUAGAUCAAAGAACAGGGAGGUACAUGGCCAAUAUGAUUUCAUGUCUUAAAUCCUUAAUAUCCAGUAGCCACUGUGGGACAGGUCUGCCCAUCCUUAAUUACUAUAUUAUUGGCUGGAGUUACUGACUGGUUUUUAGGUCACUGAAGCACCAAGGUUCCUAUACAGAGCUACUGAGCAAAGUACUUGUUCACAAUUUUCAGUCUAACUAAAACCUUUAAGAAAAUUUAGACUUUGAAAAUUCUAAGUCUUUAGCAUAGAAUGAUUUGAAAUUACUGAUGUUAAUGUUGUGUCAUAAGAACCAAGAGGAAAAUUAAAUGAACCAAUCACAAUUCCAAAAUUCUCCAGAGGUUUAAUAAAUUCUGUAGUACCAGUUUC